rnacentral:lncRNA from 1 species
AUCUAGCAUUAUUAUCAGAAGAAAUGAGAUACAAAAAUAUUAAUAUUAAGAUGUUUGAGGACGUUUUCCAGAGGAAAGAGGAUGACAAUGAUAUUGAGAUUGAAACAGUACUUACAAAAUGUAAAUAUGUUUUUGUCUAUAUAUCAGAUAAUUUUUAUACAUCAAAGUUAAGACGACUAGGACUAAAAGAAUGUUGUAUAAAGGAUGCCCUGGAGGGACGAGAAACGAAGACGCAUUUUAAGAUUGUGUGUUACUGUGGACACUGGAAACUGCCCGACGAUAGGCACCUGACAAUAAAACCGGAAAAUGUAGAUUUAGACUAUUUUCUUUACGUUGAAGAGAAUCCAGAUAUCGUUUUGAAAUACAAAAAAAACGUACAAAGAUUGUCUAGACACGAUUCAGCAUAAAUAAAUGAUGAAACAGAA